CCCAAUAAGCAAAAAUAGCGGGUUGUUUUCAUAGAGGUUGUUGUAGCAGUGAUAAAUUAUUCGUUGCGGGGGAUAUCUGUGUAAUGGGGGUGUGUUUUCUAAAGAGCGGGUGGGCGAAGAGGUCUAUCCGCCAGUUACACCUCUGAUGCCAAGAGAUGCGGCAAGGGUUAAGGUUACUCGUGCCUGGGGUAUGUGUUAUGACUCAGACUGGAUAUUUUUCGGUUACUUUGGACACCCCUGGAGUAAAUUUUAUGUUUAUUUAUGAUUCAAUAAGUAAUUAUAGUAGUUGUCAUCAUUCUCGCGUAGUAUUCCGACUGUUUAUUAAAAACAUUGCCUUGUGCUAUCGAUACAAGGUAGAGCCUGCCCAGUGCGUUGUUAACGGCCGCAGUAUCGUGACUGUGCGAAGGUAGCAUAAUUAAUUGCCCCAUAAUUGGGGGCUUGUUUGAAUGGUUUAACGAGAUUGUUACGGAGAUGACAGCUGUUGGUGAAUUUAAUAUUGCGGGUGCGGAGUCCGCAGUGACUAAUAAGACGGAAAGACCCCAGGAUCUUUCUUUUUUGUCUGGGGCAGAUCUCAUUAUUUCAAUGGGUUUUAGUCCCGUGGAUUAAAGGUUUAAGUUACCCUGGGGAUAACAGGGUCAUAGCCCAGUAGAGGUCGUAUCGAUUGGGCGGGUUGCCACCUCGAUGUUGACUUGGGGGAG
rnacentral:rRNA from 1 species